UACGUAGGGGGGCAAGCGUUGUCCGGAUUUAUUGGGCGUAAAGAGCUCGUAGGCGGUUUGUCGCGUCGGGAGUGAAAACACCGGGCUUAACUCGGUGCUUGCUUUCGAUACGGGCAGACUAGAGGUAUGCAGGGGAGAACGGAAUUCCUUGGUGUAGCGGUGAAAUGCGCAGAUAUCAGGAGGAACACCGGUGGCGAAGGCGGGUCUCUGGGCAAACAACUGACGCUGAGGAGCGAAAGCGUGGGGAGCGAACAGG
rnacentral:rRNA from 1 species